rnacentral:rRNA from 1 species
UACGUAGGUGGCGAGCGUUAUCCGGAUUUAUUGGGUUUAAAGGGUGCGUAGGCGGUUGGACAAGUCAGCGGUGAAACGCAAGGGCUCAACCCUUGACCUGCCGUUGAAACUGUUGGACUAGAAUGCGGAUGCUGUGGGAGGAAUGUGUGGUGCAGCGGUGAAAUGCAUAGAUAUCACACAGAACACCGAUUGCGAAGGCAUCUCACAAAUCCGUGAUUGACGCUGAGGCACGAAAGUGUGGGGAUCAAAC